rnacentral:rRNA from 1 species
UACGUAGGGGACAAGCGUUGUCCGGAUUUACUGGGCGUAAAGAGCGCGCAGGCGGUCGUUCAAGUCGAGUGUGAAAGCCCCCGGCUCAACUGGGGAGGGUCACUCGAUACUGAUCGACUCGAAGGCAGGAGAGGGUAGUGGAAUUCCCGGUGUAGUGGUGAAAUGCGUAGAUAUCGGGAGGAACACCAGUGGCGAAGGCGACUACCUGGCCUGUUCUUGACGCUGAGGCGCGAAAGCUAGGGGAGCAAACGGG